UACGUAGGGGGCAAGCGUUGUCCGGAUUUAUUGGGCGUAAAGAGCGUGUAGGCGGCUGGGUAGGUCCGUUGUGAAAACUCGAGGCUCAACCUCGAGACGCCGAUGGAAACCCCCCAGCUAGAGUCCGGAAGAGGAGAGUGGAAUUCCUGGUGUAGCGGUGAAAUGCGCAGAUAUCAGGAAGAACACCAAUGGCGAAAGCAGCUUUCUGGGACGGUACUGACGCUGAGACGCGAAAGCGUGGGGAGCGAACAGG
rnacentral:rRNA from 1 species